rnacentral:rRNA from 1 species
UACGAGGGGGGCAAGCGUUGUUCGGAAUUAUUGGGCGUAAAGGGCGCGUAGGCGGUUUGACAAGUCUGAUGUGAAAUCUCUGGGCUUAACCCGGAAAGGUCAGCCGAUACUGCGGGGCUAGAGUGCAGAAGGGGCAACUGGAAUUCUCGGUGUAGCGGUGAAAUGCGUAGAUAUCGAGAGGAACACCUGCGGCGAAGGCGGGUUGCUGGGCUGACACUGACGCUGAGGCGCGAAAGCUAGGGGAGCGAACGGG